rnacentral:misc_RNA from 1 species
GCGAGGAGAGCGUGAACGAGAGCGGGAGGGUGAAAGGGAGCGGUGACGUCCAUGUGACCGGCGACUGUCAUAUCCAGAAGGGGCUCUGACACGAUCUCUGUUGCGCAUUUCAUCUGGUUUUUUCCUUGUUUCUGCAGCAACAACAACAGUUAUCUCCCUGCCACCAAAUUGUUUACGAUUCAUAUGAUAUUGGGCCUCCGAGGCAUCUAAAGGAUCAACAAACUGCACGAACGCAAAACCCCGAGGUUCUCCUGAGUAAUAAUCCUUCGGCAUAUAAACAUCCCUUACUGGCCCAUAUCUUUCAAACGGAACUCUAAGGUCUUCAGGUCUGCAACUCAUGGGAAUGUUUCGAACCAAAAGGCUGCCAUUG